AUGGCCACCGCCCUCCGCCCUCCCCGGCUCCCAGCAGUUCCAGAGCAAGCCUCUUCACUUCAUCGCCUACCAAAGUACAGAGUUGCCGUCACUGGGCGUAGGAGCUUCGCCGCCAGGGCCGGCUCGUAUCCAGGCAACGUGGGCGUCCCGAAGCAAUGGUACAACCUCAUCGCCGACCUGCCGGUGAAGCCGCCGCCGAUGCUGCACCCGGGGACGCACCAGCCGCUGAACCCCAGCGACCUGGCCCCUCUCUUCCCCGACGAGCUCAUCAGGCAGGAGCUCACGGAGGAGCGCUUCAUCGACAUACCCGACGAGGUCCGGGAUGUCUACGAGCUCUGGCGCCCGACGCCACUGAUCAGGGCCAAGAGGCUGGAGAAGCUGCUCGGCACGCCGGCGAAGAUCUACUACAAGUACGAGGGCACUAGCCCGGCGGGGUCGCACAAGGGCAACACCGCCGUGCCGCAGGCGUGGUACAACGCCGCGGCGGGGGUCAAGAACGUGGUCACCGAGACCGGCGCCGGCCAGUGGGGCAGCGCGCUCUCCUUCGCCAGCACCCUCUUCGGCCUCAACUGCGAGGUGUGGCAGGUGCGCGCGUCCUACGACCAGAAGCCGUACCGGAGGCUGAUGAUGGAGACGUGGGGCGCCAAGGUGCACCCGUCGCCGUCCGACGUGACGGAGGCCGGCAGGAAGCUCCUGGCGGCGGACCCGGCCAGCCCGGGGAGCCUCGGGAUGGCCAUCUCCGAGGCGGUGGAGGUCGCGGCCACCAACGCCGACACCAAGUACUGCCUCGGCAGCGUGCUCAACCACGUCCUGCUGCACCAGACCGUCAUCGGCGAGGAGUGCCUGGAGCAGCUGGCGGCCAUCGGCGACACCCCGGACGUCGUCAUCGGCUGCACCGGCGGCGGCUCCAACUUCGGCGGGCUCGCCUUCCCCUUCAUGCGCGAGAAGCUGGCCGGCAGGAUGAGCCCGCAGUUCAAGGCCGUGGAGCCCGCGGCGUGCCCCACGCUCACCAAGGGCGUCUACGCCUACGACUACGGCGACACGGCCGGGCUGACGCCGCUCAUGAAGAUGCACACCCUCGGCCACGACUUUGUCCCCGAUCCCAUCCAUGCAGGUGGGCUUCGCUACCAUGGAAUGGCGCCUCUGAUUUCCCAUGUGUAUGAGCUCGGGUUCAUGGAGGCCAUGUCCAUACAGCAAACUGAGUGCUUCGAAGCUGCAUUGCAAUUUGCACGGACGGAGGGCAUCAUCCCAGCGCCGGAGCCGACGCACGCGAUCGCGGCGGCGAUCAGGGAAGCGCUGGAGUGCAAGAGGACCGGGGAGGAGAAGGUCAUCCUCAUCGCCAUGUGCGGCCACGGCCACUUCGACCUCGCCGCCUACGACCGGUACCUGAGAGGCGACAUGAUUGAUCUCUCGCACUCCUCCGAGAAGCUCAAGGAGUCUCUGGGUGCCAUUCCCAAAGUCUGA
rnacentral:rRNA from 1 species